UACGUAGGUGGCAAGCGUUGUCCGGAUUAUUGGGUUUAAAGGGUGCGUAGGCGGCCCUGUAAGUCAGUGCUGAAAUAUCCCAGCUUAACUGGGAGGGUGGCAUUGAUACUGCGGGGCUAGAGUACAGAUGAGGUAGGCGGAAUUGACGGUGUAGCGGUGAAAUGCUUAGAUAUCGUCAAGAACACCUAUAGCGAAGGCAGCUUACUAGGCUGUAACUGACGCUGAGGCACGAAAGUGUGGGGAUCAAACAGG
rnacentral:rRNA from 1 species